CUUCUUCAUUCUGGACCCCUUUAACUGAAGUCUGCACCAGUACAGAAACCUGCCUCUGGACACCAUCAGACUCUACCAGAUGCCGUGGGCACCAUCCCCGAGAAACCGGUACAUAAAACAGAGAUAAUGAUUCACUUAUAGGUUAAAAAAUGUGCCGGUCUAAAGAAUAAAUUUGUCCUUUUGUUUUAGGACUACACCGAGACGUCGAUGACCCCCUCUUGCUCCAGGACCCGGCUGAAGAAUGAAGACAAAGACUUGGUCCCCUGAUUGGAGGUAAGUCAAUCUUUGCGAGUGGUCUUGCUUGUUUCAGUCAAAGUUUUAUGGUGACAAAUUGAUGUUAACAGUCCACUAACUGGAUCUGAUCCCUGUCUGCCUUCUGUAGUCACCACCCUGCAGGCGGACUUCCUGUCUCACUGUGAGUCCGUAGACCUUCAACCUCGUCCAGAAAACCCUUACUCAGGACAUGGUGG